GUGGGGAAUCUUGCGCAAUGGGCGAAAGCCUGACGCAGCCAUGCCGCGUGAAUGAUGAAGGUCUUAGGAUUGUAAAAUUCUUUCACCGGGGACGAUAAUGACGGUACCCGGAGAAGAAGCCCCGGCUAACUUCGUGCCAGCAGCCGCGGUAAUACGAAGGGGGCUAGCGUUGCUCGGAAUUACUGGGCGUAAAGGGCGCGUAGGCGGACAGGUUAGUCAGAGGUGAAAGCCCAGGGCUCAACCUUGGAAUUGCCUUUGAUACUGGCUGUCUUGAGUACGGGAGAGGUGAGUGGAACUCCGAGUGUAGAGGUGAAAUUCGUAGAUAUUCGGGAGAACACCAGUGGCGAAGGCGACUCACUGGCCCGUUACUGACGCUGAGGCGCGAAAGCGUGGGGAGCAAACAGGAUUAGAUACCCGAGUAGUCC
rnacentral:rRNA from 1 species